CUGAAAUUCUUUAGCGAUGUUGUUACG
rnacentral:misc_RNA from 1 species